CCUACGGGAGGCAGCAGUGAGGAAUAUUGGUCAAUGGGCUUACGCCUGAACCAGCCAAGUCGCGUGAGGGAAGACUGCCCUAUGGGUUGUAAACCUCUUUUGUCAGGGAGCAACGCCGGCUACGUGUAGCCGGACUGAGAAUACCUGAAGAAAAAGCAUCGGCUAACUCCGUGCCAGCAGCCGCGGUAAUACGGAGCAUGCGAGCGUUAUCCGGAUUUAUUGGUUUUAAAGGGUGCGUAGGCGGAAUGCCAAGUCAGCGGUAAAAUCGCGGGGCUCAACCCCAUCGAGCCGUUGAAACUGGGGAUCUAGAGGGUGCGAGAGGUAGGCGGAAUGCGUGGUGUAGCGGUGAAAUGCAUAGAUAUCACGCAGAACCCCGAUUGCGAAGGCAGCAUACCGGUGCACAACUGACGCUCAGGCACGAAAGCGUGGGUAUCGAACAGGAUUAGAUACCCCUGUAGUC
rnacentral:rRNA from 1 species